AGCCCAUGUCCAUCAGGUGAGAGUCCUGAUGUCAUAUUUUACUGUGACACAUGUGAAAUCUGUGACAGUUUGCCUGUGACAGAGCUGAGAGAGAGGAGAGAGAGAGAGAGAGAGAAGGCAAGCUUGUCUGUCUUUCUAUCCCAAGAAACUAGAUAUGGAGGCCUCCAAAACCUGGCAGCGGUAAAAGUUUCUGGACACUCCGUGACUAAAGGUCAACUCAAACACAUGAAGAAUCUAAGAGGUUGCUGGCAGUGGCCGCCUGCGUUGUACCCUGUGACCUCACUGUAGCUUUGGUCCCAGACACACAGUGUGCAUACUGACCGUGCACGCUGUGCAUGGAACAAGGUGUUUUUAACGUGCAUAUAAGCUUGUCUACCGUUCAAGAAACAAUGAUAGAAAAUAAGUGAACAUCUCCCCCUUCAGCACGUGUGUAUAAAUCAGCGCGUGUUUGAGCAGGGUUGGGAUAGAAUGCUUAAUUUUACAAACUGCUGUUUGGGUUGCUGAUUCUGACCUGGAAUCGGGACAGGAUUUCCAGUGAUGCCUGGGAUAGCCUGAAACAUGUUCCCACCGUUUCGUUCUACACAUCUCUAUGAGGCAGUGCCCUAAGCACUGAUGGUCAUCAAACAAAAAUACCGACCAACCCCUAGGAACACGGAAGAAGCCCUGAGUCCUGCAGAGCUAACCAUUCAGCCACGGUUUCAUGCAUUAUGUAGCGGCAGAUGAGCACUUUUGUCUGAGUGUACAAAUUUGCCUUUUGUCUUUAACAAUUGGUUGAUCAGAUAAACAGCAAAGAAUUACUUGGAAAUAAACUUCUUACGACUUAUUCUCAGGAUAUGUUUGAUUCCCGUACCCAUUUUCUAUGACUGCAUAACUGAGGUUCAUGUAAGACUUUCUCCGAGGGGAAAGGCUCUCCCCUGCGCUAACGGCCUUCACUUUGGGAUGAGCACUUUCUACCAUGAGAGCCUGUUCUCUGUCCCUAGCCCAGACAGCACCCCUAGACCUACCCAUCUGGGGUCACCAUUGAGAGGUUCUUCCCACUGCUUUGGUUCUGCAUAUACACCCUCUCCCUCCCCUGAGCUUCCUGCCUAGGUGGGGAUACCUAGUAGGGCAGAUGCAACCCCAGCUGAGCAGUUAGAUCCCCAGGACAGCCAUGGUCUGCCAGCUCUGAGGUAAUGCCACCAUGUUCACGCUAUGUCCCCACUCUGGGCAGGGACAGAGCCAGAUCUUUCCAGCAGAUCAAUGUCCACCCAAGGAGGUCUUGCUCGCCAAAUGUCUACACAGUCUCACUGUUGUCUGGUCACCACUCAAUGGCUUUCCCCUCCCUUGUGGCUCUGAUGGCUGUCUGUGAUGACCACAUGGGGCAGGUCUGAAGACACAGGGCUGCUUCACAGCCCAUCAAAGGCUAGGGUAGAAGAUAGACCAAUAGAUGGCAGCCUUCCUGGAGGAGGUGGUGUUGGCAGUGGCGUCUGCAAGAACACAGACUUCUCAGGUGAAGAUAUCGGAGGGCAAAUGCUUUAGAGAGGAUAGAGUGAAGCUUGGAAAACACAAGUGCCUGGGGGCUAGGAGCCAGACCGGAGGCACGCAAAGGCUAUUGGGUAGGUGUGAUGUCAGUUGAGUCUUAACUGUGUGAGGAAACACGGCUGCUUACUGUUCAAUGUCAGUGACAUGGGUACCUUUAAUUGGCCCCAGACCUAAGGCAAGAAAUGCCUAGAUGUUCUUAUCCUUUCUGCCUGCCAGGGAGAACAGGAUGCAGAGUGGUUACCUCCAUGUGGCUUGGCCACUGCUGUCAGGGAUCAGGCCUUUUCUUAGCCACAUUGACCCAGAGGAACAGUGGGGGCCAGCCUGGGGGUGAUCAAUUUGGCACCUCCUGCCCUGCACCCCACACUUACUGGUGGUGUUUUGCCUCCUCAGCAGCAUUUUCCAUGAGUCUUCUGGACUCUCCCAUCCAUCCACCCAUCCACCCAUUCAUCCAUCCAUCCUUCAUCUACCCAUCAUCCAUCCAUCCAUCCAUCAUCCAUCCAUCCUUCAUCCAUCCAUCAUCCACCCAUCCACCCAUUCAUCUAUCCAUCAGCCAUCCUUCAUCUAUCCAUCAUCCAUCCACCCAUCCAUCCUCCCAUCCAUCCAUCCUUUGGGGCAGUGGCUGGGACCAUGACCUACUGAGAAGUAACCAGGAUCAACAUGCAGCUUCUGGUAAAUUCCCUGCUUUUCUUCACUAUUUCUGCCCACUGUGCAUCUGUCAGAAUAGAUGUGUCCUAUGAGAGAAAUAAAUCCAAGUAGCUUUAAGCCUCUGGGGCAUUGAUGCUAUUUGUCAUUUUAGCUGGCUUUGCCUAUGGUGACAAAAGGCUUCACUGUCCUCAACUUGUUCUGGAAAGGGAGGAAUUGUUGGGUCACCUGUUUCUCUCUCAUUCUGAACUCAGUAUAGACAAUGCCACCUGAAGGAGCCCUCCUGCGGGUCCCUCUAGCUGCCCCCAUGAAGCUUUCCCCAAACAACGCUUGAGUCAUCCCUGAAGAGGCUGGCUGCAUUUUACCACCCCAGUGGAGCCAGGGCAGAGGCACUGAGGGACCCUCCUAAGCCCUGCAUGAUUGCUAUUUUGCACUCAGGAUAGACAAAACCACCUGAAGGAGCCCUCCUGGUGCUCCUUGCCUGGCACCUCCUGUGUACCCGCUCCUGACUACACACCCGAUGGCCCUCACCCUGCUGCCCUCUGCUUCCUUCUCCCCGCCCACCUGGCACCUCGGCUCUGUAAAGCUGCUGGAGGAUGUCUGGGGACCCUCCAUCCUGCCUGUACUGCCGUACCACGCUGUGCGUAACGGGAACAUGGUCCGUAUCUGUGCUGAGGGAUGGAGCUCAUCAUGUCUGGACCACUGUGAUGCCGUGCAGAGACACACUGACUGUAACUCACCUACGGGCGAUCAGGAAACUGUCCUUCCAUGUGCCCUGUGCUGCUUGGCAGCGGCAAUCUCAGCCUGCAGCCUGUAGCAACCUCACCCACGGGUGCCCAGCGAUGGGCCGGAGGGACAGCAUCCUCAUUGGUCUGUGUGGGGCAAGAUGCCGGAACCUUGACCGUGACCUUCAGCCUCUAGGCUGUGAGAACUUCACUUGUUCCUUAUAAAUCACAGAUCUGGAGGUAUUCUAUUACAACAGCUCUCAUAGACUGGACCCCUCCCUUUGCCACCUCGCCAUCCCCCUCCCUCCCUGGCCCGUUACCCGAAGCUCCGCUCAUACAGCUCCUGCUAGAACCUAAUGGCAUUGGCUGCUCCUGAGAUGGAGGGGGCGACUCGCUGGGGCAGGUGACAUCCCUGUCCCUGUGUGAGUAACUGUCCUUCAAGAAGCAUGCUGGGCCUGGGUGCUACACAAGCUGGCAGACGAUUUCUCAGGACAGCGAACCUUUGGCCCCGGAGCAGGAACCGUGUGGCUAUCCCUCCUGACCCGGCCCCUCUCCUCCUUGUCUGGCUUCUGGGAGAGCCGUCUGCCACCUUUCUUUGGGCGCUCAGGGAGCCCUGGUCACUGGUGGAGAACUCAGACCACUAGUGGAUCCGGGUGUCAGAGACAGGAGCAUAAUGGGAGCGGCAGGCGACCGUCCAGAAGACUCCCUCCCUGCUUCGGGGUGAUGGGCCUCAGAGCGGCCCUGGUAUGUGGGAACGCAGAACCGACUUCCUGAUUUGCGUUCAGUGGUGAGAGUUCACACGGAUGGCUCAUGACCACUUUUGUGAGAUCUGCUAUUGCUGCCAUCCAGAUCGCAGAUGGCUUCUGGAAGUUUCUGCUAUGCACUGUACACCCCCCCCACUACCACUGGCAACACCACUCACCGGUGGAGUCAGAGGUCCUACUUGGAAAGUAGAAAGUUCCUGGAAUAAAGAGCAGUGGCUUGAGCUGAGGAUCGUUCAUCCAAUCUGACACCUCGUGUGGAAACAAAACACCUCAACAGAGGUUUCCAUAAAGAUUCUUUGAAAGGU